rnacentral:rRNA from 1 species
AACGAACGCUGGCGGCAGGCCUAACACAUGCAAGUCGAGCGCGCAUUUCGGUGCGAGCGGCGGACGGGUUAGUAACGCGUGGGAACGUGCCUCUCUCUACGGAAUAGCCAUUGGAAACGAUGAAUAAUACCGUAUACGCCCUUCGGGGGAAAGAUUUAUCGGAGAGAGAUCGGCCCGCGUUAGAUUAGAUAGUUGGUGGGGUAACGGCCUACCAAGUCUACGAUCUAUAGCUGGUUUGAGAGGAUGAUCAGCAACACUGGGACUGAGACACGGCCCAGACUCCUACGGGAGGCAGCAGUGGGGAAUCUUAGACAAUGGGCGCAAGCCUGAUCUAGCCAUGCCGCGUGAGUGAUGAAGGCCUUAGGGUCGUAAAGCUCUUUCGCCUGUGAAGAUAAUGACGGUAGCAGGUAAAGAAACCCCGGCUAACUCCG